rnacentral:rRNA from 1 species
GAUGAACGCUGACAGAAUGCUUAACACAUGCAAGUCUACUUGAACUUCGGUUUGGGUGGCGGACGGGUGAGUAACGCGUAAAGAACUUGCCUCACAGAUAGGGACAACAUUUGGAAACGAAUGCUAAUACCUGAUAUUAUGAUUUUAGGGCAUCCUAAGAUUAUGAAAGCUAUAUGCACUGUGAGAGAGCUUUGCGUCCCAUUAGCUAGUUGGAGAGGUAACGGCUCACCAAGGCGAUGAUGGGUAGCCGGCCUGAGAGGGUGAACGGCCACAAGGGGACUGAGACACGGCCCUUACUCCUACGGGAGGCAGCAGUGGGGAAUAUUGGACAAUGGACCAAAAGUCUGAUCCAGCAAUUCUGUGUGCACGAUGACGUUUUUCGGAAUGUAAAGUGCUUUCAGUUGGGAAGAAAAAAAUGACGGUACCAACAGAAGAAGUGACGGCUAAAUACGUG